rnacentral:rRNA from 1 species
AUUGAACGCUGGCGGCAGGCCUAACACAUGCAAGUCGAACGGUAACAGGAAACAGCUUGCUGUUUCGCUGACGAGUGGCGGACGGGUGAGUAAUGUCUGGGAAACUGCCUGAUGGAGGGGGAUAACUACUGGAAACGGUAGCUAAUACCGCAUAACGUCGCAAGACCAAAGAGGGGGACCCUCGGGCCUCUUGCCAUCGGAUGUGCCCAGAUGGGAUUAGCUUGUUGGUGGGGUAACGGCUCACCAAGGCGACGAUCCCUAGCUGGUCUGAGAGGAUGACCAGCCACACUGGAACUGAGACACGGUCCAGACUCCUACGGGAGGCAGCAGCGGGGAAUAUUGCACAAUGGGCGCAAGCCUGAUGCAGCCAUGCCGCGUGUAUGAAGAAGGCCUUCGGGUUGUAAAGUACUUUCAGCGGGGAGGAAGGGAGUAAAGUUAAUACCUUUGCUCAUUGACGUUACCCGCAGAAGAAGCACCGGCUAACUCCGUG